rnacentral:misc_RNA from 1 species
UGGUUCUGGCAUCGAUGAAGAACGCAGCGAAAUGCGAUAAGUAAUGCGAAUUGCAGAAUUCAGUGAGUCAUCGAAUCUUUGAACGCACAUUGCGCCCUUUGGUAUUCCGAAGGGCAUGCCUGUUCGAGCGUCAUUAUCAACCCUCAAACUCUGGUUUGGUGUUGGAUCUGGAGAGGCAACUCCCCAAUCCGAAAGACAAUGACGACGUUCGACGAGAGCCUGGUACAAUGAGUCUUCACGGGCACGUAUCAAGCGCGAUCGUCGAACCCGGUCACCUUUAUUAUUUUUUCAAGGUUGACCUCGGAUCAGGUAGGGAUACCCGCUGA